GACGAACGCUGGCGGCGUGCUUAACACAUGCAAGUCGAACGGUGAAGCGCUUUCCUUUUUGGUUGGUGUGGAUGAGUGGCGAACGGGUGAGUAACACGUGAGUAACCUGCCCCCUUCUUCUGGAUAACCGCAUGAAAGUGUGGCUAAUACGGGAUAUUCUGCGCCUGCUGCAUGGUGGGUGUGGGAAAGAUUGUGCCUUUGGGUGUUUUCGGUGGGGGAUGGGCUCGCGGCCUAUCAGCUUGUUGGUGGGGUGAUGGCCUACCAAGGCGGUGACGGGUAGCUGGGAUGAGAGGGUGGCAGGUCACACUGGGACCGAGACCCGGCCCAGACUAGUACGGGAGGCAGCAGUGGGGAAUAUUGCACAAUGGGGGCAAGCCUGAUGCAGCGACGCCGCGUGAGGGAUGGAGGCGUUCGGGUUGUGAACCUAUUUCGCAAGUGAAGCAGGCCUGCUCAUUGUGGGUGGGUUGACGGUAGCUGGAUAAGAAGCGCCGGCUAACUACGUG
rnacentral:rRNA from 1 species